UUCGGGGUACUCGAGUGGCGAACGGGUGAGUAACACGUGGGUGAUCUGCCCUGCACUUUGGGAUAAGCCUGGGAAUACUGGGUCUAAUACCGAAUAUGACCGCGCACUUCCUGGUGUGUGGUGGAAAGCUUUUGCGGUGUGGGAUGGGCCCGCGGCCUAUCAGCUUGUUGGUGGGGUAAUGGCCUACCAAGGCGACGACCGGUAGCCGGCCUGAGAGGGUGACCGGCCACACUGGGACUGAGAUACGGCCCAGACUCCUACGGGAGGCAGCAGUGGGGAAUAUUGCACAAUGGGCGCAAGCCUGAUGCAGCGACGCCGCGUGAGGGAUGACGGCCUUCGGGUUGUAAACCUCUUUCAAUAGGGACGAAGCGCAAGUGACGGUACCUAUAGAAGAAGGACCGGCCAACUACGUGCCAGCAGCCGCGGUAAUACGUAGGGUCCGAGCGUUGUCCGGAAUUACUGGGCGUAAAGAGCUCGUAGGUGGUUUGUCGCGUUGUUCGUGAAAACUCACAGCUUAACUGUGGGCGUGCGGGCGAUACGGGCAGACUAGAGUACUGCAGGGGAGACUGGAAUUCCUGGUGUAGCGGUGGAAUGCGCAGAUAUCAGGAGGAACACCGGUGGCGAAGGCGGGUCUCUGGGCAGUAACUGACGCUGAGGAGCGAAAGCGUGGGGAGCGAACAGGAUUAGAUACCCUGGUAGUCCACGCCGUAAACGGUGGGUACUAGGUGUGGGUUUCCUUCCUUGGGAUCCGUGCCGUAGCUAACGCAUUAAGUACCCCGCCUGGGGAGUACGGCCGCAAGGCUAAAACUCAAAGAAAUUGACGGGGGCCCGCACAAGCGGCGGAGCAUGUGGAUUAAUUCGAUGCAACGCGAAGAACCUUACCUGGGUUUGACAUGCACAGGACGCCAGUAGAGAUAUUGGUUCCCUUGUGGCCUGUGUGCAGGUGGUGCAUGGCUGUCGUCAGCUCGUGUCGUGAGAUGUUGGGUUAAGUCCCGCAACGAGCGCAACCCUUAUCUUAUGUUGCCAGCGCGUAAUGGCGGGGACUCGUGAGAGACUGCCGGGGGUCAACUCGGAGGAAGGUGGGGAUGACGUCAAGUCAUCAUGCCCCCNUUAUGUCCAGGGCUUCACACAUGCUACAAUGGCCGGUACAAAGGGCUGCGAUGCCGUGAGGUGGAGCGAAUCCUUUCAAAGCCGGUCUCAGUUCGGAUCGGGGUCUGCAACUCGACCCCGUGAAGUCGGAGUCGCUAGUAAUCGCAGAUCAGCAACGCUGCGGUGAAUACGUUCCCGGGCCUUGUACACACCGCCCGUCACGUCAUGAAAGUCGGUAACACCCGAAGCCGG
rnacentral:rRNA from 1 species